rnacentral:tRNA from 1 species
AACCGGAUAGCUCAGUCGGUAGAGCAUCAGACUUUUAAUCUGAGGGUCCCCAGGGUUCAUGUCCCUGUUCGGGCG